AAACGAAUCCACGUGUGGAUUUUUGCAUGUACCGUAUGAAUAAGGAUCGGCUAACUCCGUGCCAGCAGCCGCGGUAAUACGGAGGAUCCGAGCGUUAUCCGGAUUUAUUGGGUUUAAAGGGAGCGUAGAUGGGUUGUUAAGUCAGUUGUGAAAGUUUGCGGCUCAACCGUAAAAUUGCAAUUGAUACUGGCNGUCUUGAGUACAGUUGAGGUAGGCGGAAUUCGUGGUGUAGCGGUGAAAUGCUUAGAUAUCACGAAGAACUCCGAUUGCGAAGGCAGCUUACUAACCUGUAACUGACAUUGAUGCUCGAAAGUGUGGGUAUCAAACAGGAUUAGAUACCCUGGUAGUCCACACGGUAAACGAUGAAUACUCGCUGUAGGCGAUAUACGGUCUGCGGCCAAGCGAAAGCAUUAAGUAUUCCACCUGGGGAGUACGCCGGCAACGGUGAAACUCAAAGGAAUUGACGGGGGCCCGCACAAGCGGAGGAACAUGUGGUUUAAUUCGAUGAUACGCGAGGAACCUUACCCGGGCUUAAAUUGCAACCGAAUAUGGCGGAAACGCCAUAGCUAGCAAUAGCGGUUGUGAAGGUGCUGCAUGGUUGUCGUCAGCUCGUGCCGUGAGGUGUCGGCUUAAGUGCCAUAACGAGCGCAACCCUUGCCGAUAGUUACUAACAGGUUAUGCUGAGGACUCUGUCGGGACUGCCAUCGUAAGAUGUGAGGAAGGUGGGGAUGACGUCAAAUCAGCACGGCCCUUACGUCCGGGGCUACACACGUGUUACAAUGGGGGGUACAGAGGGCUGCUACCACGCAAGUGGAUGCCAAUCCCAAAAACCUCUCUCAGUUCGGAUUGAAGUCUGCAACCCGACUUCAUGAAGCUGGAUUCGCUAGUAAUCGCGCAUCAGCCACGGCGCGGUGAAUACGUUCCCGGGCCUUGUACACACCGCCCGUCAAGCCAUGGGAGCCGGGGGUACCUGAAGUGCGUAACCGCGAGGAUCGCCCUAGGGUAAAACUGGUGACUGGGGCUAAGUCGUAACAAGGUAA
rnacentral:rRNA from 1 species